UACGUAGGGUGCGAGCGUUGUCCGGAAUACUGGGCGUAAAGCGCGCGCAGGCGUCCUGGACGUGCCGUGUGAACAGGCCGUCGGCUCAACCGACGGAGGCCAGGGUACACGACAAGGACUGGAGGCAGAGAGAGGGAUGUGGAACGUACCGGUGGAGCGGAUGAAUGCGUAGAUAUCAGGAGGAACACCGGUGGCGAAGGCGGGUCUCUGGGCCGAUGACUGACGCUGAGGAGCGAAAGCGUGGGGAGCGAACAGG
rnacentral:rRNA from 1 species